GGUGGUGGGUGUCUGUCCCCAUAGAACGCUGCGACAGCCCCUCCCGAGGAGGCUGAGAGUGCCGUUGGAGCCUCUGAGGCCGCCCAGCGGCCCCCUGGCUCCGUUUGUGCCGGCAUCCCCCGCCCUUGAGGUGAAGUGGCGUUCGGUCUUGGCGUGGACUAAGAUGACUAAAGCCUGGCCUCCCCGCACCCUACAAGGGGCCCUGUGCUUACACUGUCAUUGAGAAGGAUGCAAGGAAGUAAUUUAGCUUUCAUCUUGGAAAUGGUGUGGUUCAGUUAAGACUUGAAACACAGCUCUGUCUAGGAUGUCCACGUGUGUUGGCCGGAACUUCCUAGCUGCUUUUCCUGACUCGUAAUGAAGCCGAGGGAAUAUCUGCUGGGACAGCAAGGUUCACAGUGGGUGUCUGCAGAUUAUCGCCGCUACCUUUGGGUCCUGUAGUGACCUUUAGCUCUGGAAAAAAACACGGGUGUUUUAAAAAGUUCACCGUGUCUUCAAAACGCAUUGUCAAAAGUCUUGAGGCAGGCAAUUUUGAAAAAUAGCCUCAGGACUGUCACGUGUCAUAAACAAUUGCAUGAAGCGUUGAUUGUGAUGACUGACUUUGUUGGUCAGCCAUCAAAAGAUGUUCCUGCUGCUAAAGUGUGAGACCAAAUGAGGAUUAUCCAUCGAAUAAGCAUAGUGACCCUCAAUACUUACGCAGAGGACAUUUGUCUGAAGAAUGGCUCUCAGGCAUGGGCUGGCAGAAGCGAUGUUUGUAAUGCAAGGAAUAUAUCCGGAAUGCGACAUUGCCGUGACGGCAGCACGAGCUCAGCUGACACCUUUCUACUGCACUGUGUAUCACUGACCUGUGUGGCCAACCUUUGGCAAGACACAGUGCUCUGAAUGCCUCUGCUCAGGUACAGAUUUACCCAGAGGACUCUGAGGACUUUGUCUCUUUCUUCCCCCAUGUUAGCAGCGUGGGCUGCAGCAGGCCUGUCAUGGCAUACAGUGGUGCCUGUCCACCCCUCGUCUCCAUCCUGUAGCUAUGCUUCUCCAAACCUCACCACCUACCACCCGACCUUAUGAAACACAAGAACCACCCUAGUCCUCCUGCUUCCUCCAGCCUCACAACCCCUUCCCAGGGAGCGUGUGUUCUCCAUCCUCGUGGCA